rnacentral:rRNA from 1 species
GACGAACGCUGGCGGCGUGCUUAACACAUGCAAGUCGAACGGAAAGGCCCUGCUUUUGUGGGGUGCUCGAGUGGCGAACGGGUGAGUAACACGUGAGUAACCUGCCCUUGACUUUGGGAUAACUUCAGGAAACUGGGGCUAAUACCGGAUAGGAGCUCCUGCUCCAUGGUGGGGGUUGGAACGUUUCGGCGGUUGGGGAUGGACUCGCGGCUUAUCAGCUUGUUGGUGGGGUAGUGGCUUACCAAGGCUUUGACGGGUAGCCGGCCUGAGAGGGUGACCGGCCACAUGGGGACUGAGAGAGGGACCAGACUCCUACGGGAGGCAGCAGUGGGGAAUAUGGCACAAUGGGCGGAAGCCGGAUGCAGAAACGCCGCGUGCGGGAUGACGGCCUUCGGGUUGUAAACCGCUUUCGCCUGUGACGAAGCGGGAGUGACGGUAAUGGGUAAAGAAGCACCGGCUAACUACGUG